rnacentral:rRNA from 1 species
CGAGCGUUAAUCGGAAUCACUGGGCNUAAGCGUGCGUAGGCGGACUUGUAGGCGCUUUGUGAAAUCCCUCGGCUCAACCGAGGAACUGCAGGGCGAACCCCAAGUCUCGAGACAGGUAGGGGUCGUCGGAACGCUAGGUGGAGUGGUGAAAUGCGUUGAUAUCUAGCGGAACGCCGAUGGAGAAGUCAGGCGACUGGGCCUGUUCUGACGCUGAGGCACGAAAGCGUGGGGAGCGAACGGGAUUAGAUACCCCGGUAGUCCACGCCGUAAACGAUGCGCACUAGGUUGGGGAAGUUCUGACACUGUUCCCGGCCGAAGCAAAAGUGUUAAGUGCGCCGCCUGGGGAGUACGGUCGCAAGGCUAAAACUCAAAGGAAUUGACGGGGGCUCACACAAGCGGUGGAGCAUGUGGCUUAAUUCGAAGCAACGCGAAGAACCUUAUCCUGGGUUUGACAUGUAUGGAUUAGCCCACUGAAAGGUGGGUGACGCCCUUGUGGUGGAACAUACACAGGUGCUGCAUGGCUGUCGUCAGCUCGUGCUGUGAAGUGUCGGGUUAAGUCCCUUAACGAGCGCAACCCCUGUCGCUAGUUGCUAGCAGGUAAUGCUGAGGACUCUAGCGAGACUGCCGGUGUUAAACCGGACGAAGGUGGGGAUGACGUCAAGUCCGCAUGGCCUUUAUGCCCAGGGCUGCACACGUGCUACAAUGGCAGGUACAGAACGAUGCAAUACCGCGAGGUGGAGCAAAUCGCGAAAGCCUGCCCCAGUUCGGAUUGGAGGCUGCAACUCGCCUCCAUGAAGUCGGAAUCGCUAGUAAUCGCGGAUCAGCAAUGCCGCGGUG